rnacentral:tRNA from 1 species
GAGGGUAUAGCUCAGUGGUAGAGCACAUGCUUAGGAUGCACAGGGCCCUGGGUUCAAUUCUCAGUACCUCCA